rnacentral:ncRNA from 6 species
UGACCUCGGAUCAGGUAGGGAUACCCGCUGAA